rnacentral:rRNA from 1 species
GUCCACGCCGUAAACGAUGCACACUAGGUCGGGGAGGUUUUCACGCCGUCCCGGCCGAAGGAAAACUAUUAAGUGUGCCGCCUGGGGAGUACGGUCGCAAGGCUAAAACUCAAAGGAAUUGACGGGGGCUCACACAAGCGGUGGAGCAUGUUGCUUAAUUCGAGGCAACGCGAAGAACCUUACCUGGGCUUGACAUGCACGGAUUAGCUCUUGGAAACAUGAGUGACGCCCUUUGGGUGGAAC